rnacentral:rRNA from 1 species
GCACCGAAGCUGCGGCAGCGACACUAUGUGUUGUUGGGUAGGGGAGCGUUCUGUAAGCCUGCGAAGGUGUGCUGUGAGGCAUGCUGGAGGUAUCAGAAGCAGCCAUCAUUUAAAGAAAGCGUAAUAGCUCACUGGUCGAGUCGGCCUGCGCGGAAGAUGUAACGGGGCUAAACCAUGCACCGAAGCUGCGGCAGCGACACUAUGUGUUGUUGGGUAGGGGAGCGUUCUGUAAGCCUGCGAAGGUGUGCUGUGAGGCAUGCUGGAGGUAUCAGAAG